rnacentral:lncRNA from 1 species
AAUAAAUUGAUCCUGGAGGAGAUCAUUGGCUCACUCAUGACUUAUGAGUUGAGCAUGCACCAAAAUAUGGAGAAAAAGUCAAAGAACAAGAGAACCAUAGCCUUAAAAUCUAAGGCCAAUGAUGAUGAGGAAAGAAACCAGUCAGAAGAAAUCGAGAAAAUGAAGAAAUGGCCAUGAUAACAAGAAAAUUCAAAAGAUUUAUGAGAAGAAAAAGAAAAAGAUUUAAUAAGAAGGGCA